UUUAUCUGGUCAACACUCCUUCACACACAAAACGAGGCACGUGCAGAAGCCACAGAGGGGCAGCUGUUUGCUCAAGGGAGCCCCAGAAUCCAGACGGAUCCCAUCGGAUCAUAGCUUACAGGUCUCAAAGGACCUCCCCACAGACGAUGCACUGAUUUCAGAAACAAAUAGUGAGUUCACAAUGGAGAACCAGGCAGACAACUGCUUACCCAGGUCACAGUUAUGUCACCACCAUCCGGAUUGUGACGUUCCAGCAUCAGCUGCCUCCUGAUGUGAUGGCACCAGGACAGCAGCGUUUCUGCCAAAACCCAGAAGCCACAUCUAGUCACAAAGCAACAUCAGACAAACAAAUGGAGCGACAUCUUAUAAAGGGGCAGCCUGGCUUUCUUCAAACACAUCCAGCGCGAGGAGGAGGAGAAGGAAAAAUGAAGAGGAAGCAGUAUAUAGUAAGUAAAGAAAAAAUGAAGAAAGUCUUCAUGGGGAAAACCCGGAAAGUCAAAGGUGUUAGUGUUUUGAAUAAAGCAAUAGCUCCAGUUCCUGUGAUGGAUGCCUUUGUGUACUGACUUCAUCUCGAGGCCAUCACCAUCGAGAGUGGAACAUGGGGGUCAAAGCCAGCCCCCAGCAUCAUGACACGCUUGCAUAUCCCAAAUGCAUACAUGGACACAUCAGGGGUCUCCAAUAUGCUUUCUUCCUUGGCACCUGGCACCUCUGUGUCCCCCCGGGGACAUUGCUCUGCAAAGAAGUGAAGAAAGUAAGAUUUCUGACAGACAAAAGAUGACAAGUGACUUCCAGUUUCUGCUAGAGCACGCAGAGCUGGAAAGAGUGUCAUCUCAAACCUACACACUGCCCAACAAUAAGUCUGUGUCUUUUCUUGAACUUAUUUGCAUUCUGAAAUUGGAAUGCCACCAACUUGCCCCAAAUCAAAGAAAAGACUGGUGUCUGCAGGGAGAAACAAGACAGGAGGAGAAUGCUGGCUUACUUGGGCCCAGGUUGCCCUAG
rnacentral:lncRNA from 1 species